rnacentral:rRNA from 1 species
GACGAACGCUGGCGGCGUGCUUAACACAUGCAAGUCGAACGGAAAGGCCCUGCUUUUGUGGGGUGCUCGAGUGGCGAACGGGUGAGUAACACGUGAGUAACCUGCCCUUGACUUUGGGAUAACUUCAGGAAACUGGGGCUAAUACCGGAUAGGAGCUCCUGCUGCAUGGUGGGGGUUGGAAAGUUUCGGCGGUUGGGGAUGGACUCGCGGCUUAUCAGCUUGUUGGUGGGGUAGUGGCUUACCAAGGCUUUGACGGGUAGCCGGCCUGAGAGGGUGACCGGACGAAGUGGGAAGGAGAGAAGGCGGGGAGACAGAAGGGGGGAAGAAGUGGGGGGUGGGGAGGAGGGGGUGGAAGCGGAAAGCAGCAACGGCGGGGGGGGGAGGAGGGGCGACGGGAAGAAAAAAGGGAUCGCCGGUGAAGAAGGGAGAGGAAGGGGAAAGGAUAAAGAAGAACAGAACAAAUAUGUG